rnacentral:misc_RNA from 1 species
GAUGAAGAACGUAGCGAAAUGCGAUAAGUAAUGUGAAUUGCAGAAUUCAGUGAAUCAUCGAAUCUUUGAACGCACAUUGCGCCCGCCAGUAUUCUGGCGGGCAUGCCUGUCUGAGCGUCAUUUCAACCCUCAGCCCCCGCUCGCGGGGCGCUGGCGUUGGGGAUCGGCCGUCCUCGCGGCGGCCGGCCCCGAAACACAGUGGCGGUCUCUCGCGGACUCCCCUGCGUAGUAGCACUACCUCGCAGAAGGGACGAGCGGGCUGACCACGCCGUAAAACCCCCCACAUCUCCAGGUUGACCUCAGAUCAGGUAGGAAUACCCGCUGAACUUAAGCAUAUCAAUAAGCGGAGGA